UGUUGUUGUUUUUCCCGCACGACAGCCCGUAUGAGCGCUCCGGCCCGAGCGAAGCCAUCGCUGGCUCUCCCUUUCGGAGUCUGCUCGCCAAAUUAAUGCUACUUGGUCUCCAGCACUGCUCAAACCAGGGGACGUCAUCACUGUGCAGAGUUUUCACUCCUCAAAUCAAGCGGAGCGGGAAUUGUAUGUGCCGAUCCAGUCCGCUGUGCUCAUCUUCAUCAUCUCCAGAUGGUCAGAAGAGGUGGCUCAGGCAUCAGAUUAGGAUACUCCCGAGACGCCUCCCUGAUGAGGAGUUUCAAGCAUGGCCCACUGAGAAGAGCCCCCAGGGACGACCAAGGAUAUGCUGGAGAGACUUACAGUAUGUCUCCUCGUUGGUCUGGGGACAGAGGAACAGGACAAAGUG